rnacentral:rRNA from 1 species
AACGAACACUGGCGGCAGGCUUAACACAUGCAAGUCGAGCGCCCCGCAAGGGGAGCGGCAGACGGGUGAGUAACGCGUGGGAAUCCACCCAUCUCUACGGAAUAACGCAUGGAAACGUGUGCUAAUACCGUAUACGUCCUUCGGGAGAAAGAUUUAUCGGGGAUGGAUGAGCCCGCGUUGGAUUGGCGAGGUGGUGGGGUAAAGGCCUACCAAGGCGACGAUCCAUGGCUGGUCUGAGAGGAUGAUCAGCCACACUGGGACUGAGACACGGCCCAGACUCCUACGGGAGGCAGCAGUGGGGAAUAUUGGACAAUGGGCGCAAGCCUGAUCCAGCCAUGCCGCGUGAGUGAUGAAGGCCCUAGGGUUGUAAAGCUCUUUCACCGGUGAAGAUAAUGACGGUAACCGGAGAAGAAGCCCCGGCUAACUUCGUGCCAGCAGCCGCCGUAAAAC